CGAGAAGUUAGCGUGCAUUCAAGUUGUGUAAGAGAUGUGGUGUGAGAAUGGAAGAGAAGGUUUUAUAAUAUUGAUUGGAUAGCCCAUCAGGGCCAGGAGAUUUCCCAGAUGGGAGAGCUUUUAUAGUGGCAAGGAUUUCUUCAACUGUGAUGGGAGAUUGUAGUUGUGCUUGUUGGUCAGUUGUAAGCUUUGGGAGGUCUAUUCUAGCUAAAAAGUUAGCAAUCUCAGAGUCAGUUGGUAUGUAUGCACGUCAUUUUUAAC